ensembl:lncRNA LINC00343 long intergenic non-protein coding RNA 343
UGGGCAGGCAGAAGGAAGGCAGUUAGGCUGUUAGGAAGGCAGUUAGGCUGCAGUGAAUUCUACAAAGAGGCUAUGGGAAAGAAACCUGGAAAGUACCCUUGGCUGUGUACAUUUGAGUAAAGAGAGCACUAUAAAAUCAAAAACCAAUGAAAUGGUUUCCAGAACACAGAACUAUUAAGCUUAAGAAAAGGACAGAAGGAACUGAAGAGAGAGGAACUGUUUUGGAGCAUCACACUUCCACCUCAGAAGAAAUAAGGAAGGAAGGAGGAGGGUGUUCCCACGGCUCUUCAACCAGGCCGGCUCUUCAGCCUACAUCCCCAUCUCAUCAAGUAAAAGGGAUUUUUCAACUGGACCAACCAGAUGGUUUAACAGUGCACUCCCACACCAUUCAACUACGCAAGGGAGAUACACUUAACAUAUGCAGUCGUAUAACACCUACUAACAUUUUCAAACAUUAAACCUUUAAAAAAGAGUUCUAAAGAAAUAGAAGCUUGAAGUAUCAUCUCUCAAGUAUAUAGACACUACUUCAUGGUGUGGUAAUAUAUGCAUAUAGAAGCUAGUAAACACCUCCAGGAGAUGCAAAAGGAAUUAGAACUGCCACAAGGUGCAAGCAAAACCUUGAGGUGAGAAAAUCGAAUUUGGACACCGUUGAGGAGACUAUUGCAGUCAUCCAAGCUCAAGAUGGUGGAGCUUCAUCCUUGAGAAUAACCAAUGGGGAUAGAUUUAAGAGACACUUAGAGUCUGCAGCCAACAGGGCUGAAUGAGCAGAGAGUUAUGAUUCAGAAGAUCAUCUAAAAUUGAACAGCUGCCACUACUGGCAAUAAGUCUACUGCCAUUUGGUAGAUAACCUUCUUAUCACACAGAAAAAUAUCAGUACAGACAAAUAGACCGCAAAGAAAAUGAGACCAUCAGCAAAGAAGAUAAAGAAGUUUGUACAAAGCAACUUUUUAUAAAUGGAUGGCUGUCAGGCAAAAAUAAAUUUCCUGUGGACAAGACCAAGAGCAAGAUAUACCCGGCUUUUAAAAUUGAAAACCAUAGCCUAGAAUUCUGAUUGAAUAUGCAUAACAAGAUGGGAGCAUAAGAAGAAAAUUUUUAUUGAUCUUUAAAAUAUAAACCAAAUGACUCUCACUACUGAUUUUAGACUUGUGAAUUAAAACAGGGGUCCAUGAACUAUGCGUAGAGGGUCAAAUCUGGCCCACUGCCUGGUUAUAUAAAUAAAGUGUUGUUGAAACACAGCCACACCAUUGCAGCUAUGUAACUAGGGGGAUAUCAGCUCUACCCCUAUGUCUGCGUUCUGUUUUUCCUCUUCUAAUCCUUCACCCAUCUGAGCUAAAGUCUAGACCUAAGGAGGCUACUAAUUCAGGGAUCGAGUAAUCUGCCAAGCAAGAGUUUAUUCAAGCACAGUUUGAAAUAAAGGUUUCAAAUGCAUAGCCUGUCGAUACUUUGGAAGGAUUCUCAUCAUAACGAGAUAUGGGAGGACACCUGAGACGGCAGGCCAGAAGUCACUCAGUAGGAGAAACAUCCGUUAGAAGUAAUAAUGUGGGAUUGCUGAAGUAAAGACUAUAGGAAGAAAAAAGUGUCUGUGUGUAGGAAACGGAAAGGGAGAGAAAAAUACACUGAGAUGGUAAAGUAAGGAAGUGGAAGAUCAGCAGAAUGUGCAGAUGCCAAGCCAUCCAAGAAAAUCAUCUCUUGUGAUUGUUGCGAAGUCAACUAGCUAAUGUGACUCACUGCUAGGCUGUUGGAUCUGAGACUUAUGUGGGAUAAUUUAGAAACUUGCUAGUGUCUUAAGAUCAAUUACUCACCAAUGAGAGUGGCAUUGAACUGUGAAUGUUCCUCCUAGAUUUUCCAUGAAGACUAAUGGUUUUGUCUUGUCUUGAAUUUGUUUUAAUUACAAUUUGUAUACAUCCUGUUCCACCCUGAAAUUUUUAUUUUCCAAAUGGUUUUUCAUUUAAAGAGACUAAAUAAAGGUUCUGACUGAGUUGU